rnacentral:rRNA from 1 species
CCUACGGGAGGCAGCAGUGAGGAAUAUUGGUCAAUGGGCGGGAGCCUGAACCAGCCAAGUCGCGUGAGGGAAGACGGUCCUAUGGAUUGUAAACCUCUUUAGGCGGGGAGCAAGGCCGGGCACGCGUGCCCGGAGGGAGAGGACCCGCAGAAGAAGCAGCGGCUAACUCCGUGCCAGCAGCCGCGGUAAUACGGAGGAGGCGAGCGUUAGCCGGAUGGCUGGGGUUUAAGGGGGGCGUAGGCGGAUUUUUAAGUCCGCGGUAAAAGGUCCGGGCUCAACCCGGGCCGGCCGUUGAAACUGGUGAUCUUGAGUGGGCGAGACGUAUGCGGAAUGCGUGGUGUAGCGGUGACAUGCAUCGAUCUCCCGCAGAACUCCGAUUGCGAAGGCAGCAUACCGGCGCCCGCCUGCCGCUGAGGCACGAAAGCGUGGGGAUCGAACAGGAUUAGCUACCCUUGUAGUC